AUAAACACUAUAGUGCUUUUUUUAAAGUUAGAAGCUUUACAAAUAAUAUUUCUUU
rnacentral:tRNA from 3 species